UACGGAGGGUGCGAGCGUUAUCCGGAUUUACUGGGUUUAAAGGGUGCGUAGGCGGACUGGUAAGUCAGAUGUGAAAGCUUACGGCUUAACCUUGAAAUUGCAGUUGAUACUGUUGAUCUUGAAUAAGCAUGAGGUGAGCGGAAUUUGUCAUGUAGCGGUGAAAUGCUUAGAUAUCACAAAGAACACCAAUUGCGAAGGCAGCUCACUGGG
rnacentral:rRNA from 1 species